AAAAUGCGCAAAGCGUCGCUGCUCACCAAUAAAACCCACUAUUCUGUGAUGUAACAGUCGCCAUGACAGUUCGUCGCUAGCAAGACAGUAAGGCAAUUUCAUGUGAACAGCUCCUUGGUUCCUGAACCCGUCUUUGACAAAUGAUCAUUUCAAUUGCAUUGCAUUACAACGCCGGAAUUGUCGUCGUCUCGUCUUCUCAUAUUCAAAAAGGUCCCAUUUUGUUGCAUUGUGGAAAACAGUCAAACGAUGGCUGAACAUCGCAUCGUUCUGCCCUGUAAAAGGUACGUCUCGGUCUUUCUUCUUUUCUCUGCCACCCUGAACACGAUGUAUGCGGUUACUCACUAUUCUAUUCCGGAGGAAAUGGAGGAAGGCUCCGUUAUUGCUAAUCUGGCCUCUGAUUUGGGGCUGAACAUGAACAGUCUCAGUAAACGCAAGAUGCGCUUGGAUGUUAUUGCCAACACAAAAUAUCUGGACGUUAACAAAGAGACUGGCGAGCUGUAUAUCGUCGAAAGGUUGGACAGGGAAUCUCUUUGUCCAACUAAGACAGCAACAUCAUGUUUUCUUAAAAUGGAUGCAACAAUUGAAAAUCCAAUAAGGAUGUUCAAUAUAGAAUUAGAAAUCAUGGAUAUAAACGACAACGCGCCACAUUUUCGACGGGACACAAUGGAUUUGGAUAUAUCAGAGUCUACUCCCGUGGGUGAGCGAUUCUCUCUGAACAAUGCAGUGGACCCGGACGUUGGUAGCAACACUGUUAAAACCUACCACCUAAGUGAGAGUGAACAUUUCAAUAUCGAAAUACAGACCGGUAGAGAUGGAGCAAAAUUUGCUGAUUUGAUACUGAAAAAGGCUUUAGACCGAGAGCAGCAGGCGGUUCAUAAUCUAAUACUCACCGCUGUAGAUGGCGGAGUCCCCGCGCGCUCCGGAACAGCCAACAUCAUUGUUCGGGUUCUGGAUACAAAUGACAACGCCCCUAAGUUUAAUACAGACACGUACAAGAUCGAUAUAAUGGAAAACUCUCCAAUUGGAAGUCUUGUUGUUAAAUUGAAUGCAACAGACUUAGAUGAGGGCACCAAUUCGGAAAUAACAUAUUCAUAUAGUUUGUAUACAUCGGAGAAAACGCAAGGCACUUUCAGUUUAAACGCUAACAAUGGAGAAAUAACGGUAAAAGAAAUGAUAAAUUAUGAAGAUUUCAGGAUUUAUGACAUGGAAGUCAUAGCAACAGAUAAAGGAGCGAAUUCCUUGUCAAGUCAGUGUAAAUUAACCAUUUUAGUUACAGAUAUGAAUGACAAUCAUCCAGAAAUGUCCAUAAAAUCGUUUCAAAGUCCCAUAAAGGAAAAUGUAGCCAUAGACACUGUGAUAGCAGUAGUCAGUGUCAGCGAUAAAGAUUCAGGUGAAAAUGGAAUCGUCAAUAUUCACAUUGCGGAUCAAUUACCUUUUGCGCUUCGAGAGUCUUCUGAUAACUAUUAUGAGUUAGUAGUUUCACAACCUCUGGAUCGUGAGAAGGUCCCAGAAUAUGAAAUCACUUUUACCGUAACAGACAGGGGUUCCCCUCCACUAUCUGACAACGAAACCAUGACUUUAGAACUACUAGACGUAAACGACAACGUUCCACAGUUCCCCCAGUCGUUCUACACUAUACCCGUUAUGGAGAAUAAUGCACCUGGGGCCUUGCUAAGUUCCCUCACUGCGUUUGAUCCAGACCUCCAUGAAAACCAGUAUCUAGUUUAUUUCAUCAUAGAGAAGGAGAUAGUGAACACAUCCAUGUCCAUGCUGUUCUCCAUCAAUCCGGAGAACGGUAAUCUUUACGCACUAAAGACGUUUGACUAUGAGAUAGAGAAGGAGUUCCUUUUCCACAUUGAGGCCAGAGACUCUGGUGUUCCUCCGCUCAGCAGUAACGUGACUGUCCACAUCAUUAUUGUGGACCAGAACGACAACACCCCGGUCAUAGUGUCUCCGUGGCGCGCGCACGGCUCCGUGGUGGAGGAGAAGAUCCCCAGAUCCACCGAUAAAGGAUCCCUGGUCUCCAAGGUGAUAGCCAUAGACACAGACUCGGUCCAGAACUCUCGGAUUACAUACCAGUUUCUACAGGUUACUGACGCCACCUUAUUCAGUCUGGACCAAUACAACGGAGAGAUACGUACUAUGAGAAUGUUCAGUUACAGAGAUCCGCGUCAUCAACGGCUGGUUGUCAUCGCCAAGGACAACGGGGAACCUGCUCUCUCUGCUACAGUUACCAUAAAGCUCUCAACAGUGGAGACUGCCGUUAAAGCCUACUCUGACAUGACUGAAGUGCCUCUAGAAUAUGACAUAUUUUCAGACUUAAACCUGUAUUUGGUGAUCGGCCUGGGCUCAGUGUCCUUUCUGUUAUUGAUCACAAUAUUGGUCACCUGUGUGCUGAAGUGUCAGAAACCAAAGCCCAGCAAUGCGGCUCCUCCCAGUAGGAACAGCGUGAUCAGCGAGAGGAAUUCGACCAUCGCAGAUUCCACCCUGGUCUCCAACGAUGCCUACUGGUACAGUCUGUUUCUAGCGGAGACGAGGAAAGGAAAGCUGGUAGUCAGACAGCCUGUGCCAAAGGCAGGUUCCAGAUACAUCGUUUCCAGUCUACCAAGGAGCACUGGCCUGACAGAGACCAGUGACUCAGCAGCCUCUACUCUGCAGGUGAGAAUGACCUACACCCAUUCUUUAAUAUAAAUAACAAUACAUUUGAUAGAGGUGUUUUCUUCAGUGCACAAUUAUCGUGCGUAAAAUUGAUGAAUAGGUUGACUCAAGUUCGACCACGUGUUGAUUGCAAUUUUUUUGGCAAUUAACAGUUCCAGCUCCACAUUCAAUGUACUUAUAUGCAACCAAAUCAUUCAAUUCACAAGUUGAAAAGUCACUGUUGUCCCGUUGCAGCUGUUCUCACAGCAUACUUCAAGUUUAAACGCACUAAUAAUACAACCUAAACGUUUGCAAUGUUUGCAAUUUCAGAGCUGCAUAGGCUGGCAAAAUGCGCAAAGUGUCACUGUUCACCAAUAAAACGCACUAUUCUGUGAUGUAAUCGUCGCCAUGACAGUUCGUCAUAGUGAUAGACGCAGUGCCUAUUGUGUGUGGACAUUUUCCGGUCCUGAAUUUCGAUUCCUUCGAUAUCAUUUUUGUCCAUCUUCAAAACGUUACAAGGUCGUCUCGUUUUCUUGACGUAAAUUCAACACAACUUCAUAUUUUCGUUGUGGUGCAUUACGCACAGAGAUAAGCAAUACAACAAUGGAGACGCACAUCAGUGCACAGCACUGGAGAAGGUACGUCUCGGUAUUUCUUAUUUUCUCUACCGCCAUGAACACAGCAUGUGCGGUUACUCACUAUUCUAUACCCGAAGAAAUGGAGGAAGGCUCUAUUGUUGCUAAUUUGGCUGCUGAUUUGGGUCUCGAUGCGAAAACCUUAGUUAAGCGUAAAGUACGGUUGGAUGUUAUCGCCAAUAAGAGGUAUCUGGAGAUAAACAAAGAGACGGGAGAGCUAUUCAUCGCGGAGAAGAUUGACAGAGAAUACCUAUGCAACAGCAAAAAUCCAUCUUGUUUCCUCAAAAUGGAUGUUUCGAUUGAAGAACCAAUACGAAUGUUUAAUAUUGAAGUGGAAAUAAUGGACAUAAAUGACAACGUGCCCCAUUUUCGCAGGGACACCAUGCACCUGGAUAUAUCAGAAUCCACCCCGGCAGGUGAACGAUUCUCGUUAAACAAUGCAGUUGACCCAGAUUUCGGUACAAACUCUGUAAAGUCGUAUCACUUAAGUGAUGAAGAGCAUUUUAGUAUAGAGAUUCAAACCGGGAGAGAUGGGUCAAAGUUUGCUGAUUUGGUUCUAAAAAACGCUUUAGACCGAGAGGAACAGGCGGUCCAUAACCUAAUACUCACCGCUGUAGAUGGCGGAGUCCCCGCGCGCACAGGCACAGCCAACAUCAUUGUUCGCGUUCUAGAUACGAAUGACAACGCCCCUCAAUUUGAUAAAGAAAGCUACACCAUCAAUGUGAUGGAAAACGCCCCAAUUGGAAAACUUGUGAUUGAAUUGAAUGCAACUGACUUAGAUGAGGGAACCAAUUCGGAAAUAAUAUACUCAUAUAGCCUUUAUACAUCAGAGAAAACGCAAGCAAUUUUCAGUUUGAAUUCUAAUAGUGGUGAAAUCAGAGUCAAAGAAAUGAUUAAUUAUGAAGAUUUCAGGAUUUAUGAUAUGGAAGUCAUAGCAAUGGACAAGGGACCCAAUUCCUUGUCAAGUCAGUGUAAAUUAACUAUUUUAGUUACAGAUAUGAAUGACAAUCACCCAGAAAUGUCCAUAAAAUCGUUUCAAAGUCCUAUAAAGGAAAAUGUAGCCAUAGAUACUGUGAUAGCAAUUGUUAGUGUCAGCGAUAAAGAUUCAGGUGAAAAUGGUAUAGUUGACCUCCAUAUUGCUGAUCAAUUGCCAUUUGCACUAAGAGAGUCUUCUGAUAACUAUUACGAAUUAGUAGUUUCACAACCUCUGGAUCGUGAGAAGGUCCCUGAAUAUGAAAUCACUUUUACGGUAACAGACAGGGGAUCCCCUCCGCUAUCUGACAACGAAACUAUGACUUUAGAACUACUAGACGUUAACGACAACGUUCCACAGUUCCCCCAGUCGUUCUACACUAUUCCCGUUAUGGAGAACAACGCACCUGGGGCCUUGCUAAGUUCCCUCACUGCGUUUGAUCCAGACCUCCAUGAAAACCAGUAUCUAGUUUAUUUCAUCAUAGAGAAGGAGAUAGUGAACACCUCCAUGUCCAUGCUGUUCUCCAUCAAUCCGGAGAACGGUAAUCUUUACGCACUAAAGACGUUUGACUAUGAGAUAGAGAAGGAGUUCCUUUUCCACAUUGAGGCCAGAGACUCUGGUGUUCCUCCGCUCAGCAGUAACGUGACUGUCCACAUCAUUAUUGUGGACCAGAACGACAACACCCCGGUCAUAGUGUCUCCGUGGCGCGCGCACGGCUCCGUGGUGGAGGAGAAGAUCCCCAGAUCCACCGAUAAAGGAUCCCUGGUCUCCAAGGUGAUAGCCAUAGACACGGACUCGGUCCAGAACUCUCGGAUUACAUACCAGUUUCUACAGGUUACUGACGCCACCUUAUUCAGUCUGGACCAAUACAACGGAGAGAUACGUACUAUGAGAAUGUUCAGUUACAGAGAUCCGCGUCAUCAACGGCUGGUUGUCAUCGCCAAGGACAACGGGGAUCCUGCUCUCUCUGCUACAGUUACCAUAAAGCUCUCAACAGUGGAGACUGCCGUUAAAGCCUACUCUGACAUGACGGAAGUGCCUCUAGAAUAUGACAUAUUUUCAGAUUUAAACCUGUAUUUGGUGAUUGGCCUGGGCUCAGUGUCCUUUUUGUUAUUGAUCACCAUAUUGGUCACCUGUGUGCUGAAGUGUCAGAAACCAAUGCCAAGUAAAGCGGCCCCUCCAAGUAGGAACAGCGUGAUCAGUGACAGGAACUCAACCAUCGCGGAUUCCACCCUGGUCUCCAACGAUGCCUACUGGUACAGUCUGUUUCUAGCGGAGACGAGGAAAGGAAAGCUGGUAGUCAGACAGCCUGUGCCAAAGGCAGGUUCCAGAUACAUCGUGUCCAGUCUACCAAGGAGCACUGGCCUGACAGAGACCAGCGACUCAGCGGCCUCUACUUUGCAAUAUCCUAAGUGAGGGAAGUCCACUCUGCAGCUGGAGGGGUCGACCACCACUGGCAGCAGUUCCUCGUAAGGCUCCAUCCCCAUUGGUCCGCUGAAGUGACAUCAGGAGGAAUCCCUGUCCACUGAAGAAAGGAACCCCAUCCUUACCCUACUCAGCCCCCUCCCCUAAACGCCCAGCCCCUCAGUGACACUCCAACUGCACCCCCUUGGCCUCACAAUAACUGUACCCCAAGGACCUAAAGGACACUAUAGUGACCCCGUCCCCCAUCCCCUGUCCCCUAGCCAUGCCCCAAUCUCUUUUUAAGCACACGCUAUCCCCAAUCAACUUCACAAGUCUUUCAGCAUCCAUUCAACACGCAUGAUUCUUGCAUGGCUCUGGCCCAUCACUGUGGGCCCUUCGUAUUUCAAGAGAAAAGACACUAGAGACACAGAAUGAACAAGUAGAGGUACCACUGGACAUACAAAAGGAGUUCCAAACAGCCACUAUGAACUAACAGAGACGGACAUGGGAAUGUGGAGUUGUCUUCAAAGAUAGUAACCCAUCUCAGAAAAAGAUGUUAGGCUUUCCACUUCAGUGUUUCUUCUUGUUCUGGCAGCGCAAAGGUGUGGAGAUGUAUAAUCAAGCAAACAAAAAACGUGUAAAGAAAUAUGUUAGAUGGCUAAGUAGCUACAGAGGAUUAAUAACAGUAUAGGACGAAAGGGAAUUAGUGUUGUGUGAGGUGAUGUGAUGUAGAAGUAGGUCAUUUAGUCGUUUUCUGUAGUGUACAAAGACCUUGUGCUACAUGUGAGUGAGACACUCUUUAGAAUACUUUUGUCAUCCAGUUUAUCAAACAAGGAAAUAGGGGAGGGUUAAUUAGAAAUGUCAUGAUGCUUAGGUUGUUACAAGUGUACUGAUUUAAGUGUGAGGCACGUGACAUCCCGGGCAACUUUGAGAGAGAAGAAAAAACACACUUUUACGUUCCUUUUCAUUUCUUAUUUUUCAAACUUUGUACAAAAUGUGACUGCUAAACAAAAUGAAAUGCCAAUAUUUACAGUACUACAGUAACUACUAUUAUCUCUGCUUUAAGUUAUGAUCAAGGCAAGUCUAUAAUUAGUGCUUUGUGUAGCCUAUAUUAUCUAUCGAUGGUGCAAUGUGUAGUCAUUCUUUUUUAUGUAUUGUACUGUAUCCUAUGGUGAUUUGUUAAAUAUGGGUACCAUUACAUCCAUGAUGAAUUAC